rnacentral:rRNA from 1 species
GAUCCUGGCUCAGAUUGAACGCUGGCGGCAGGCCUAACACAUGCAAGUCGAGCGGGUAGCACAGAGAGCUUGCUCUCGGGUGACGAGCGGCGGACGGGUGAGUAAUGUCUGGGGAAACUGCCUGAUGGAGGGGGGAUAACUACUGGAAACGGUAGCUAAUACCGCAUAACGUCGCAAGACCAAAGUGGGGGGACCUUCGGGCCUCAUGCCCAUCAGAUGUGCCCAGAUGGGAUUAG